rnacentral:rRNA from 1 species
GAUGAACGCUGGCGGCGUGCUUAAUACAUGCAAGUCGAGCGAAUCAAAGGGAGCUUGCUCCCUGAGAUUAGCGGCGGACGGGUGAGUAACACGUGGGCAACCUGCCUAUAAGACUGGGAUAACUUCGGGAAACCGGAGCUAAUACCGGAUAAUUCAUAUCUACUCAUGUAGAUGUGCUGAAAGACGGUUUCGGAUGUAACUUAUAGAUGGGCCCGCGGCGCAUUCGCUAGUUGGUGAGGUAACGGCUCACCAAGGCGACGAUGCGUAGCCGACCUGAGAGGGUGAUCGGCCACACUGGGACUGAGACACGGCCCAGACUCCUACGCGAGGCAGCAGUAGGGAAUCUUCCGCAAUGGACGAAAGUCUGACGGAGCAACGCCGCGUGAGUGAUGAAGGUUUUCGGAUCGUAAAACUCUGUUGUUAGGGAAGAACAAGUACCAGAGUAACUGCUGGUACCUUGACGGUACCUAACCAGAAAGCCACGGCUAACUACGUGCCAGCCGCCGCGGUAACAC